ensembl:ncRNA K08B4.41 ncRNA
AGUCAUGACAUUUUUUGAAAAUGUAUACCAGCUAAACAAAUAUGGAAAUCAGUGUGUGACUGGAAAAAAAGAACCGCCGAGGGUGGCGUCGGUGGGAAAAUGUCCACACAAGACGGCGCGGCGUAGAACGAACGAGAAUAUGGGCGGGCAGGACGGCGGGUUCGGUAAAAUAAGAACUGUGUGAGAAAUAUACACGGGAAAACUAUGAUAACAAUUCAAAG